AGGGAAGUAAAUGAAUUGAAGUCAGCAAGGCCACGUGAGCAGGAAGCAUACUAAACACAUUUUCCACAUCCUGAAAUCCAAAGAUUAAAAGUUCAAACCACAUGAAAUCCCUCCACUAAGCUCAGACUUCCUCCGUCGUGCCGGAGGUCACCUCCGGGGAUGGUAGAGCCUUAAUGACCAAAUAAAUUAUAUCACCUUCUUCAGUUUAAUGUCCUGAGUCCGAAUAUCACCUUGGAACGAGCUACUUCCUCCUCACAAGUCUGAAUCAAAAUGGAUAGUGGAAGAACCCUAACAUUCAUACCUAAAGUUAAACUCUCACAUCUAGGAAUCAAAUCCCUAGAGGUUAUGGCUUUGAUUCCCCUAGCCUCCCAUGUUCCAGUAACUCACACACAAUGAAACGAUGAAGAUGAAGAAGUAACUCACUAGAGCAGCGCCAGAAUCAGGUUUAUUGUUACAGGGUUGCAUGCUGAUUGAUGUUGGACAGUACAUGGCCAUGUGAGGUAGACCGCAACGUGGUUUGAAUUUGGACAAGUUAUUGAUGUUGUCUUGCAGGAUGGCAUUCAUGGCUGUGUGAGGUUUGUCAUGUAUUUGGUGAUAAACAAAUGCCAAGAUGAUCAUAAAGAACAAGAACACUAUGGUUUUAGGUAUGGUAGAAUGGUGAGUUUACCAAAAAGUCAACUUAUGCAAAAAUUAUGUACUUUUGUAAUUUUCUUUCAAUGAAAUAUAUAUGAAUAAUGUAAUCAAUGAAUGGAAUGUAUUUUCUCUACUUAAUAA